AUCUAAAUAGUUUAUUAAAAUAUUGAUUUGUGGGAUCAAAGAUAUAGUUGUUAUUUUAGAUA
rnacentral:tRNA from 1 species